UCCGAAGAUGACUGCAUUAAUUGCAGCUCUCACUAAUGGAAAGGAGCCUGUUUCUUUGUCCACGUGGUCAAAUGAAGCCUGGGCAUGGAUGGUCACUUAGCUCUGGGUGUAGGGAGGUGCAAGAUUUAGCCUAGGGCCCAGGCCCCCCCAGUCUGACAUCUCCCAUUUCUAGGCCACCUGGGACCUCCCAGAAUCUGCGACAGCAUGAAUAGGACAUAAGGGUGGUGGGGGCGCCGGGGGGCCUCAUCCUUAUAGCAUCGCCCCCCAAUUCACUCCUAGUUAACCCUGUUGUCGCCAACUUAGUGAAAACCUCGCCUAUGUCUCCAUCACACAUCUGCCACCUCCAAGUGAUGGUUAAGCCGGUGUGCAGGCCGGUGGUGACAGGGAUGGGGACAGCGCAGUCCCCAUCCCCGCACCAGGCAGCACCGCCACUUCCUCGCCAGCCUGGCCGCAGCCCUCCCCGUCCCGGGCCGCGCCGCUUUGACUGAUCUCCCCUAUUUUCAAAAGGGAGAACUGAGCCUCUUUUUCUUCUCUUUUCUUUCUUUUUUUAGAGACAAGGUUUCGUUUUGUCACCCCGGCUGGAGUGCAGUGGUGUGAUCAUGGCUCACUACGUCCUUGAACUCCUGGGCUCAAGCGAUCCUCCCCGUUCAAGCCUCCUGAAUGGCUAGGACUACAGGCACGCACCACCACGCCUGGCUAAUUUUUAUUUUUAAAUUUUUAUGAAGACGAGGUCUUACUAUGUUGCCCAGGCUCGUCUCAAACUCCUGGCCUCAAGCAAUCCUCCCCCGUUAGCCUCCCAAGGCAUGAGCCACUGCGCCUGGCUCUUUUUCUUUCUUAUUUUCAAUUUGUACUGCCUUUACAGCAGCAGUGUAGGUAGCGCCUCCUGAAGAAAUGCAAGUCGAAAAGGGGAACAUAUUAUUUCCCAGUCUCCAGAAGAAACGCAGUCCUGCUGGUAUCCUGAUUUUAGCCCAGUGAAGCCAAUUUUGGACUUCCGACCUUCAGAACUGUAAGAUAAUAUAGCUGUUUUAGGUUGUGCUGUUUUAAGCCAUUAAAUUUGUGGCACUUUGUGGCAUCAACAAUAAGAAACUAAUACACUAAUCAAUAUACUCCUUGUUAUAUGAUAAGGCAAAAAAACAAAAAACAAACUAUGUGUACACAGUAGAUCACUAUUGUAGCUGGCUACCAUAUGAGAAUCACCUCAGAAACACAUUGAACGUAACUGUGAUUGCUUUUUCAUCAUUUACUCUGUCCACUGACCUAGAUUACAGAAUUCUGGGUGAGACACACUCGAUUUAAUAAUUGAAGUGUUAAAGUUUUAUGGCAUGAAUAUUUAAUACAAAUAGGGGUUAAUUCCAACCAUGUCUCUUUCAUUCCUCCUGGAGACCUGUUUGUAUCAUUGGAAAUGGUCUGACUGCUAAUUACAGAGGCCUAAACUAACAGGCGCUUAGUUAAGAUAGGGGCAUAUUUUUCACUCGUAAAAAGUGAUUCACAGGUAGGCAAUCCAGAGAUUGCACAGAUGCUCCAGAUAUUUUCCGUGUUUCAGAGUCCUACGUGUGCUCUGCCUGCCUUAGUUUUUAAUUCUCAUGGUUACAAGACGUCCACCUUAGCGCCAUAAGAAACAUCCCAUAUUACAGGCAGGAAGAGGGGAAAAGGGAAAGGAUAAAAAGGUGCCUGCCGGUGGAGUAAGUCUAACCCUGAAAGAAUGUUCCUGAAGGCCCAGCAAGGCUCCCACGUGCACGUCAUCACUGGGCACCAGCACGUGCAGGGAAAACUAGGCAGUGUAGGUUCUUUGUAAAGCUAAGUGCGUUGCCACCCAAGUAUCAGAGGGGCUCUGGGACUUAGAAGAAAAGGUAGAGGAGGCAUCAGGUAGGCAAUUAGUGGUUUCUGAUGUGCUGUUCUUUCCAGACAGCUCAGGGUAUUUGGAUGCUCUCUCCUGCCCUCCUGCUACCUAAACUUGGGUGAGACUGGUGUGUCUGGAUGACAGGUUGAGAAAAAUUCACGUUUAUUAGUUGUUCAUACUGUUCUUUGAGGAAACACAGAGGUUUUUCAGAACUGCUUUAGGGAUUCCACAGACAAUAUAUAUUUUUCUUUUAAAUAUGAAGGUUUAGGCUGGGCGCAGUGGGGUUACAUGUUUAAUCCCUGCACUUCUAGGAGGCCAAGGUGGGCGGGUCACUUGAGGUCAGGAGUUUGAGACCAGCCUGGCCAACAUGGUGAAACCCCAUCUCUCCUAUAAAUACAAAAAUUAUCCAGGUGUGGUGCCACGUGCCUGUAAUCCCAGCUACUCAGGAGGCUGAGGCAGGAGAAUCACUUAAACCAGGGAGGUGGAGGGUGGAGGUUGCACUGAGCCGAGAUCACGCCACUACCCUCCAGCCUAGGGAACAGAGCAAGACUCCGUCUCAAAAAAAAAAAAAAAAAAAAAGGAAGGUUUAAUGUUCCCAUGGAGCACAACUAUUAAUUUUUAUAAUUUAUAUCAGAGAUUCUUAAACAUUCUUUUUUUUGGUCUUAUUUUUUGUUACCAUAGCAGAACAGAUUUUAAACAUUCUCGAUUCAAUUCUUCACGGCCACAGUCAAAAGAAAUACUUAACAGCUCGCUUUAAUAACAUAUAACUUUUAUGUUCUAACAAGUUAGAAGUGAUUUGAAAAAAAUCAUAGACUCCUGGCUUCACAAGGGAAGCUACAGACCUUUCUGGUGAGUAUUACAGCUCAUGAACACAGGGCAGACCCAAACAGUGCGCAGCCGCAACACUUAUCACAAACAGCAAAACAACAAACAGCUGUUUGCCCUGCUGGUUCAGGUGGCCUGCUUUUAUUCCCUUAUUUGGCCCCACCCACAUGUUGCUGAUAGGUCCAUUUUACAGAGAGUUGAUUGGUCCAUUUUAUAGAGUGCUGAUUGGCCCAUUUUACAGAGUGCUGAUUGGUCUGUUUUUACUGAGUGCUGAUUGGUGUGUUUACAAACCUUUAGCUAGACACAGAGCACUGAGUGGUGCAUUUAUAAUCCUUUAGCUAGACAGAAAAGUUCUCCAAGUCCCCACCCAAUCCAGAAGCCCAGCUGGCUUCACGUCUCAGCAGCUCACUGCAACCUCCUCCUCCCAGAGAUGGGGUUUCACCAUGUUGGUGAAAGAUUCUCCCGAGGCCUGAAAGCUUGAAGGGAUGAGUAACUCCUCCCUUCUCAGGCACAGUCCCAGGGCGCAAAGCCACUUGCACCAGCAGCCUGCGUCAGCAAGAUAGCAGAAGCAGGAAGAGAGCUGGCCAGAAGACACCUACCCUUGAAGAUUGAGAAAGAGGCCAUCCAGG